ensembl:misc_RNA Gm26407 predicted gene, 26407
GGACCUGUCUGAGUAUGAUCUCGCUCGGACAUGUUACCCAUUGGUCAGGGAUUGAUUUUGUGAUCUGGCUGGCUAGGCAGGUGCUGCCUUUUCUCCCUCUGUCCACUCCACCUGAUCCCCAUCCUUGGUCAAAGAGGAGACAGAGGAGGACCAUUCUUUGGGGAAGGGGAAGGGGAAGGGGAAGGGGAAGGGACUGACAAUGUUUCCCUACUUGAACCUCCCAACAAGCUUGCAGGAUCUAUUUCAAGAGAAUGUAGCUUAGUUUUCAGGACGUAGGCAAUGAGUUACUCCAUGUGGAAGUAUGCCUCUAAAU